GACUCUCGGCAACGGAUAUCUCGGCUCUCGCAUCGAUGAAGAACGUAGCGAGAAAUGCGAUACCUGGUGUGAAUUGCAGAAUCCCGCGAACCAUCGAGUCUUUGAACGUAAGUUGCGCCCGAGGCCUCUUGGCCGAGGGCACGCCUGCCUGGGCGUCA